AGUUAUUAAUUUAUUAUAAGUUGUAUUUUGAAAAUACAAAAAGGAGAGUAAAUUAGACUCCAUUAACUU
rnacentral:tRNA from 1 species